rnacentral:lncRNA from 1 species
AUAUGUGUUAAAGGGGAAGGAAGAUCUGCUUUCCCAGACUUCCAAUUCAUUUGCCCCUCUAAAUACAGCGUCAGUCACUCUGAAACAUCUCACUGGAACAUAGAGGUUUACCUCCCGGGCUGUGCUCAGAAAUACCUUCCCACUGGGCCUAAUCACAAAGACGGUCCAAUUUCCUUUCAGCGGAAAUUUCAAAAGGUUCCUCAGCUGUCAGGCUCGCCCACAGGAAGGGAGACCUAUCUCCGUGAGGUUACCGUGUCCUUCCACCCCAAGUCUUUCAUGUGGAUCCAGUUACCCACAGGCUGGAUCCAUCCUAUCUGCAUUUGCCAGGUGAGCAGAAUAAACGAAAGGAUCUCACAGAGGGGAACACAGCCCGCUGUCUGCCUCAGGUUUUUGCUCCUUGCUGUGGUGAGGAUGUCACAAUCGUUGAGCUGCAGCUGUGGCGCCUCAGUGAGGACACGGCGGCAUUUCUAGAGCAUGCCACAGGCCUUUUGCAUUCUCCCCACAACUUCUCCAACACCGCAGGAGACCGCUCGACUUGAGCACAAGGACAGUCCAGAAGUGCAGGACAGUCGGUGCCCAAAGAAUGACCCCAGCCAGAGGGAAGCAAAGACCGGUCACUCAGUGCUCCGGUCAAUGAUCUUUCCACGGACAACUCUCCAUGCCACUCUCAGAGUUACCUAACCCACCUUGAACACAGCGUUGACC